CAGAGUCAGCAAUUUUGAGUUGGUUGAAAAGCGGUUAUAUAACGACGUUAACGCUAUGUAUAUUGGAGAAAAGGCGAGAGACUGGCGCCGGAAGUAUUUUCAGAAAUAUUCCUAGUAAAUAUCAGAUUGACCGACGAAAUCUUAAUGCAAUAAAACAACUUUCAAAGCUAUUGAUUGAGUGUUGAGUUGCUUUCAUCCGACAAGCCUCUUGGAAAAUCUUUUCUAUGGACUUCAUUGGAAAGUAUUUUGGUCUUUACAUCGUGCACCAUAGGCAAAUUGGGGCGGUUUCUCUUGAAAAUUUUACCAGUUGGAUUAUACAGAUGUUCCUGAAUCAGUAGAGAUUUUGCUAUGAGCUGACUGAAGCUCUAUCGACAAAUAAAUGCAUCAAAUAGCCACUUCAAGAAAGUGCUGAGAAAGAUUUUACGUAAUCACUAGAGAUGCCAAGAAUAGCAAUCAAAUAUCCCUCAAAAUUUACGUUACCACUUUGAAAAGAGAAUACUUUUGUAAUGCAGUUCUAUAUACUCAGUGUUCGAGAGAAGGGAGGGACUUGAAGGCUGAAAUAUGUAUGGCUGUAAGUGUGCUCAACCAAAAAUGACCUGGAGCUAAACAACAAGAAUGACACCAAGAGCAGUCAUUUUCUACUCAUGCCAGAAUAACAUAAGCUAUUUUAUUUUACAUAUCAUUGAGACUUUUUCAAUUAAGUUGGAACAUCUAAUCACUUACUAGUACAU